rnacentral:lncRNA from 1 species
GGCUUCUCUUCAUUGGAAGCUAUUGAAGCUAUUCCGGAUAAGCCUUGGCAGUCAAAUCUGGAAAACCUCAGGAGCCAUUGAGAUGAUCUUUGCGGAGCUCCCACUGGUACAGCCAGGGCGAGGAUCCUAAUUUAGAAGUUUCCACUUUGGGUGAGGACACACCACCUUGGUCAAGAAUUCAGUGUGGCAAUAAAAUAGAAAUGAUUGAAGUUGUGGUAAACGUAAACAAGACAGAGCCAGCAGAUAAGCAGCGGCACCCCAACAGAAGUAAGGAGUGGAGUGACAUCUGGAGGAGACAGGAAGAAAGGAGUGUGAAAGAGUUGGGAGUUUAAAAAUACUGUUGUAGGUCCUUCUGGUUGUGCUACGUGGGACACUGCCUCAGCACGGCUUGAUGAGCAGUGCACAGGUCAGCGCCCAGGAUCUGAACUGGUGAACCCUGGGCCGCCAUAGCGGAUCAUGUGAACCUAACCACUCGGCCACAGGACUGGACCCAACCUUCACCUUUUCAAGUAGACCAAACUCCAACCUGUAUAUUCAGGACUGGAGCGAGAACCAGGAUGGAGAAAAAUUUUAAGGACUUUGUGUAAAGAAGGUCUUGCUUCCCUCCCGAGGCCAGCGAGAGAUGGUGAAGCAAGCAAGGAUGGAGCAACACCCCAAAGCUGUGACACGCAGGCCCCACCAGCGACUGGCCUUGGGCCCCUUCACCCCCGUCACUCCCUCCACCACCUUCCCAGGCUCUCCCAGCUCCCUGGGAUCCCAGGCUCUCCAUGCCCGGCCCAGUCUGCGACCAAUGCCUGGGCUAGGCCUGGCUGGUGUCUCCUUGCCCUCUAGGCCUUUGCCUCUUCCUCCAGGGAGUCCUCCCUAAUGCCCUUCCCAGACUGAGUCCGUCUGUGCUGCAUGUGUCAUGUCUGUGAAACGUAGAGGACAUAUGGCUCCUCCAGUAGGGGCACAGGAGUCUGGGAGGGAACCAGUGGGAGGCUGGCAAGAGGAAGCAAGGAGAAGCCAGCACAGAUGCCUGAGCAACUGACUGAAGCCUUGUCAUCUCUGACCUUGGAAGUCAGGCCCUCACUCGGUUACCUGAUCUCACGGCUCAAUUUGCAACCGGAAGCACAUCAUCGGCUCAAACGAACGUUGGUUGAAUGAACGAACUGGAGGAAAAGAACCGGGGAGGCAGAGGGGGUCUGAAAACCCCGGGUCGGGUCUGCAUCCUGCUGUGUAAAAUGAGCUCACACGCGCACUGCAGGAGAUUCCAACAGCCUGGCCUGGGGUUUCCUCUUCCAUCAGGGCUCAGCUGAGCCACCGCCUGCCCCAGGAAGCCUUCUCUCAACCCCACAGUUCGCUGGGGGUGGGGGCAGGGGCACCGUGCAUAAGCUCGUUGUUGGGGGAGUAAUGGACCAAGUCCAGAAAGUUCCAUUGCAAGAUGAUGAGAGUCAGGGAGGCAGGGUGGCCUCAUGGGCUUUGCCAUUUUCUUUUUCUUACCUUGUUAAAUUAAAAGCAAUUUUCAAAAAAGUGAAAAGAAAAUUCUCUCCCAAUAAAAGGAUCUACCAGCUGGAGUUAGGAUCCUUCCUAGGAGAGUAUCAGUAUUUUCUCUGUUCUAGGGGGAGCGCUGGAAUAUAUCCUGGGGCAGACUCUCCUUUUGUUCUGGAGGAAGCCACUUCUGUGAGCCGGUUUGGUUUGAGGUCUAUAAGAUUCUUCAUUGUUGUGGGGAGAAGUCCCAAGGAAAGCCCCAAACCAAUGAAGUGAUCCUACUGCAGAUGUUUCAGAGGGAGGUGUUGAGGGCUUUUCUUAGCGUUGUACCUUGACGUGUCUUCUUGACAGGACUAAGCCUCUGCAGGAUCAGAGCCACCAUGGAGCAGCAUGGAGACUGGGCCCUACCCAUGGCCAGGGGCAGAGAAAUCAGCCAGCUCUGCUCACCGGUCCGUGAGGUGCUAGUCUUCCCAGAGAAAGGGCAGCUUUUUCUAAUUUUCACGAUGUGCCAUAGAGACUAGAGUUUCUGAGAGACAGUAUACAACCCCUGAGAUCAUGCCAAGAAGGACCUAGGGAUCUGAUCUGAUCUCUACCAUUUACCAGAGGAAAGACUAUGAAGAGGAAGUAAACUGAGUUUGGUUUAGAAGCGCUGGCUCCUUGAUUUUGUUGCCCAGACGUGGUAUUAAGCCUGAAUAACCCAGCCUGCAGGAAAUGUGUUGUCAGCUGUUGAGAGUGUCUUGUCUGAGCAAUGGAGGAGGGAGAUGGAGUGGGCAGACGGCAUGCUACAUGGAGGGUGGGAGUGCUCCUAAGCCGAUGGGUGCUCCCACUGCGAAUCAGCCUGGGAUAGGAAAAGAAGCAGGUCCAGGAAGGCGAAAGGGCUCUCUGGAGCCAGAGAAGUUGAGCCUGGAUUUCGGGUAGGAGGACACCAGUAAAGAUCCUUGCAAGAUGGCAGCUGUCUGAGGAUCAAGGAGAAAGAAGACCAAUAGGGGAUGACCUAUAGGAGGGUGUGGAUUAGGCACCUAGGAAGAGUGAUAGCUGGAUAUUUUUUGACCACGUUACAGUGCAUUCAGCAAUCUCCAAGCCUUCAGUGAAGUUUAUUUAGCUAUGCUUUGGAGAAAUAAAGAGGAUGCCUGGACCUGCACAUAGGGUGCAGGUGUAAGGGCAAAGCUCAUGCAGCCUGGACAAACCGUUAUGUGAGAGGGGAGCGGCAGUUGGAGAACAAUGACUAGCUAGAGGGACGAAUGCAGGGGAACCAUCUUUGUGCGACAGAUGAGCAUUCUUUGAGGACUAUCAGAAACAUUUGGCGAGAGCAACCAGAAAACCAGGACUUCAUGCAGUUGUUCAGGUCAGGAGCUUGGAUGAAGUUAGUUGGUGUUAAAGGAAAGGGUGACUCUGGAAGGCUAGAGGUGGUGGGGACAUGUGAGAUCCCCAGGGGAGAACGAAUGGCUAGAAGGGAAGGGAAUGUGGCAUUGCUGACUCCAAAGUGCCACAACACAUUUUUCUUUUAGCUCUCAAAGUGAAAAGCUGACAGUUCCAUUCCUAUAAGGGGAAGGCAUUUUGCUAGAUGGAAUCUCAUUUUCAUUUCCUCUCUGUUGUCACUGAAACACUGAUUACUUAUAAACAUUUCUGCAAGAAGAAUUCAGAUUCAGAUUCUUUGUUUAAGAAUUACAUAAUUUUUAAAUUAAAUACAUUCUUCCAGUACUCAUUCAAAGACAGAAAAACAAAUCAGAUUUUAUGUGUUUGCCUCUAUCACUCUUUCGAUAUUAACUAGUUACCUGGCUGUUUUUCUGUCUCUCAGUCAUCUUAACUCAAAUGCCUGCAAAAAGCCAAUACUGCUUAGUGUUAAAAUAAAACAAAAAGCCCACUUCAGAAAAUUGCAUAUUAUUUUAUUUUAUAUAAAAAUGCAUAUUACUUCCAGAUGGUCAAGUCUAACCUAACCAGAAAAAGGCUUAUUAAAAUAAUGCAUAAAAUCUGAGGAAAACAAAUAAGACUUAAAAGCAAAAAGAACAGUUAUUAGAAUUACAGAUGCAUAAUUUUCCUGGAAUGCUAGUGAUCUGAAGUAAUCUAAGGAAAUGUUUACUUUGGUCUACUUGCAACUUAAUAUUACUCUAUGUUGAUUUGAAGUGUUGACACUGAACCAAUAAAAUAAACGUCUGUAAUGAAGUCAUAGAUGUAAAUUCCCACUGCAAUUGAACAACACGCAGAGAAUUCCACUCUAAAACACCACUGCCAAGCACUGUGGGGACCACUCAUUUCUAUUUGUUUUCAACAAACAAAAUUUAACGUAAAUUGUAGGUGUUAGCACACUAAUAUUUUUUAAAAACUUGAAAAAAAU